CUCUCUCUCUCUCUCAUGAGCCCUAUCUCUAUCAUGAUCCCUGUCACGAUCUCUACUCCUAUCACGGUCCCAAUCCCUGCCAUAGUAACGAUCAUGCUCAUAAUCCCGACGAUCGCAAUCCCAUUCCCUGUCUCGCUCAUAGUCACGAUCACGAUCCCGAGCUAACGCUCUUCUACAAAUCCUGGCUCUCAUUGGUGAUCAGAGAGAUGUUCUUGAUUGAUCACUUGACCUUUCUGUUCAAGAAAGAUACACGACGUUUA
rnacentral:lncRNA from 1 species